rnacentral:lncRNA from 1 species
AUAAAUAGAGUUUAUGUUAAUUAAGAGAUAUAAUAAAAUAAUGAAAAUAAAAAAAUAAAUAGAUUUUGUAAAAUUGAUUUAAACUUAAAUAAAAUUAGGUGUUAGUACCCAAAUGUGUUACAUUGAUAAACUUAAAAAAAUGCAAGGGUAUUUUAGUCAUUAAUUAACUAAUAUUGGUGUUAGUACCCAAAGGUGUUACAAAAUUGAAACCAUAGAACCUAAACCUGUUAAAAAAAGAAGUUAGUACCCAAAGACGAAAUUAUGUAUAAACCACAGGACCCAUUUGUGUAAUUAACUCAUUUUUUUAUUUGAUUCAGAAUUUCAUAAACAGAAAGGAUUGGGUUCUAAGUUGUAUGUAAAUUGAUUUCUUUAAAGUUAUAUUAAAUUAAUAAAUUAUUCAAGAUAAAACCUCUAUUAGAUGUUAAAAUGUAGCAGUUGGAUAAAAGGUUCUAUUUGCAAACGUUCAAUCAUGUAAUCGGGAGAUGUGUCACAUAGUUUUAUCUGAUGAGUGUUCAUGUUACGUUAUGGGGCAAAGCUGCACUCAGGUUUACUAA